GUGCUCACUUUGGCGACACACGUACUAAAAUGAUACAGAGAGGAUUAGCAUGGCCCCUGCACAAGGAUGACAUGCAAAUUCAUGGAGUGUCCCAUAUUUUU
ensembl:snRNA U6 U6 spliceosomal RNA